rnacentral:rRNA from 1 species
GAAUUGACGGGGGCCCGCACAAGCGGUGGAGCAUGUGGUUUAAUUCGAUGCAACGCGAAGAACCUUACCAGGUCUUGACAUCCCACGAAUCCUCUUGAAAGGGAGGAGUGCCUUCGGGAGCGUGGAGACAGGUGGUGCAUGGUUGUCGUCAGCUCGUGUCGUGAGAUGUUGGGUUAAGUCCCGCAACGAGCGCAACCCUUGCUAUUAGUUGCUAACAGUUAAAGCUGAGCACUCUAAUGGGACUGCCGGUGACAAGCCGGAGGAAGGUGGGGAUGACGUCAAAUCAUCAUGCCCUUUAUGACCUGGGCUACACACGUGCUACAAUGGAUGGUACAGAGAGCGGCGAGGCAGUGAUGCGGAGCGAAUCUCAAAAAGCCAUUCUCAGUUCGGAUUGUAGUCUGCAACUCGACUACAUGAAGUCGGAAUCGCUAGUAAUCGCGAAUCAGCAUGUCGCGGUGAAUGCGUUCCCGGGCCUUGUACACACCG